rnacentral:rRNA from 1 species
UACAGAGGGUGCGAGCGUUAAUCGGAAUUACUGGGCGUAAAGCGUGCGUAGGUGGUUCGUUAAGUCUGUCGUGAAAGCCCCGGGCUCAACCUGGGAAUGGCGAUGGAUACUGGCGGGCUAGAGUGCGGUAGAGGAGAGUGGAAUUCCCGGUGUAGCAGUGAAAUGCGUAGAGAUCGGGAGGAACACCAGUGGCGAAGGCGGCUCGCUGGGCCGGUCCUGACGCUGAGACG